CUUGGUAGGUUUGGUCCAACAGAAGCCCCUGUUCGAAAGAUAGCUGCGUACGCGUCUACCCUAAAUUAGGGUAUUGUUCCUCCGCUUCACCAUCUCCGAGCGCGGCGACGCGACACAGUAAACCAUGACUCACCCCUGCAGUGAGCUUAGUGAAGCAGCAGAUCCUCAUGGUUCAAACUUGGCUGCUGAUCCAGUUCCUGACUUAAGCAAUCAACCCUUGAAGGAGGGGGAAUGCAGAAGAGUUUGUUUCAUGUUGAACUUAGGAGGGGGUAGUCGAUAUGGGCACUCCCUAUAUGAAGUAAAGACCAAAGGCGGAAAAAUCUUGGGAAAAGGUGGUGAAUUUCUUGAACCAGUAUCCAAGUUAUUCGAUACAAGUAACCCUCAUGUUCGACAGGAUCAUAUCCUGGCAGCUACCAGGUUCAACAGCCGUACCAAAUUGUAUAUGUUGCAAUAUGAGGGUUAUAGCAACUGCAGCACUCGCAAGAAUUACUCAUAUCAAGCACACACUUUUGACAUAAUGACUAGGGAAUUGAAGCCGUUCAAGCCCCCUGAGCAGCAUAAGACAGCUGCACUUUUAAUUUCAGCUUAUGGAAAGCUUUAUCAUCUCGCACAACCCUCAGCCUUUGAGUAUGGAAUGCCGGACCCUGCCUUUGAGGUUUAUGAUCCACACGCCGGCUCCUGGAAGAGAUGCUCUCCGUUUCCUCGCUAUGGGAAUAAGGAUUGGUCUAGCUCUAACAUACGUGGUCAUGCUAUUUGUUACGGCUGUAUUUUGGUUUCUGUAGAUGAGCCUCCUGAAUCUCCGUUGUGGGUAUAUCAUGUGACUUUGGAUAAAUGGAGUGAGGUUAAAAUCCCUAUCAAGGAGGAUUCAGAUUAUAUUUAUUAUACUUUUGCAGGGAAAGCUGUAGUUAUAGACGAUACUAUUUAUGCCAUAUCUGGAAUCGAAGAAGUUAUAACAUUUUCUCUUAUGAUGAAACAAAUGGCAGAUGGUAGUAUUGAGUACUCUGUGAACAAGCCGCGUCAGCUGCAUGGCUUGCGGACUUGUUUUUUCAUGGAUUCUGAUUGCUAUAAAAGAAGUGAGUGUUUGGUUCAUUUGGGGGGGUUGAACUUUUGCCUUCUGCAAAGUAUCAUGAAAUAUUAUAACAGGCAACGUGUGUGGAUCACCACAUUUGAUAUCAUAUACAAAGAAGGAAAGAGGCGCAUCCGUACUUUAGAUACUACUAUGCGUGAAAUUGAUAUCAACUGUCUUGGUCGAUUUCGUAUUGAAUCAGGCUUCACGCUAGAAUGUGAAGAAGAAAGAGAGAUUGUUAGCACCAGCAGCAUGAUGCAGCCAACUGAUGAUCCUCGAUUGUGCAAGCUUCAGCAGGCGGUAAAUGACAAGAUAAGGAAGCAGAUUCGGAGACGGAGACAGAAGACAUCGAAGCCGAGAUCACGAAAGUUAGCCUUGUUGGGUAAUCUGUUCAGACCCUGUCGAGAACCAAAGUUUGGUGUUUACUGAAAUCAUAUAACAAGGCCACAUUCUAGUGUUAAUGAGUUGGCUUACUGGUGUUUUAGUUUGAUUUGGAAUGCUGGUCAACGUCGUCGAGCUCUACAGAGCGAGAUUGGUCUUCAACGAAUCCCGGUGUUUUUUGCAAAUCGUAGUCUGAUCGCUCAUAGAGAUGGACAGAGAAUAAGCUUUCAUUCAUAUUCGUUAUCAGGAAGCGGUGGGUCGGGUGGAGAAGUUCGAUCAUGAAGUGGAGGAGGAGAGGGAGGUCACGUGAUCGGAGAUCGAGAAAAGGUUGCAGCGGACGGUGAUGUUGCAGCAGACAUCGAGUCGGGUGCCAGACAAAUUCGAGUGGCGGUGUUAUAAUAAAGACAGCUCUUCUAUUUUGUAUCGAUUCUAAUGGAUUAUAUUGUUGUAUAUAGGACUUGUAUAUAUAAGGGCUGGGUAUAUUUGGUUGAUCCAUGGAUUCGACGUUUCUGGAGGUCCAACAAUUGGGGUAAGGUGAAGCCUGGGUUUCGAUUUGAGCCAAGUCUGCGGAAUG